GACUCAUAGUCUCUUUCUGCUCCUGCAGAUCAAGAUGCAGAACUCUCAGCUCCUUCUCCAGCACCAUGUCUGCCUGCAUGCUGCCAUGACGAUAAUGGACUAAACCUCUGAAACUACAUCUUGAAGGCAUUUUUUGAAGCUCGAGAUAGCUGGGUGACUUGCUUUGAUCACUGAACUGUGUCUGAAGAGGAUAAUAUCAUUAUGAACAGUGAUAAAGGAAGACCCAGGGAUCCAGUCACACAAUUUCUACUGAAUCUGACAAGACAAUCUGUGAGAGUUCCCCACAUCCUGAGAAUGGCAGAGAGGAGCUGCACCAUGUGGCUAACAAGUUGUUCUUGGGGAGGCUGCACUCCUGGCUCCUCCUCAGCUUGCCUUCUCCUGCCUGAGUUUUUAGGGACCACCGCAGAGCCAACAGACUGAGGAGUUCUGCACUGCAGUGAAGGUUCCCACUUCUCUACACCCUGAACUUUAAGCAAUUAUUAAAUACUGUAAAAGAA
rnacentral:lncRNA from 1 species